GACGAACGCUGGCGGCGUGCCUAAUACAUGCAAGUCGAGCGAAGCGGCGGAUGGGUGAGUAAAGCGUGGGUAACCCGCACUUAAGUCUGGGGUACCAUUUGGAAACAGAUGUUAAUACCGGAUACUAAAGGUUGGACCUGAGAUGCAUUAGCUAGUUGGUAAGGUAACGGCUUACCAAGGCGAUGAUGCAUAGCCGGGUUGAGAGCCGGAGCGGCACCAGUGGGACUGAGCCACGGCCCAAACUCCUACGGGAGGCAGCAGGAGGGAAUCUUCCACAAUGGAUGAAAGUCUGAUGGAGCAACGCCGCGUGAGUGAAGAAGGUUUUCGGAUCGGAAAGCUCUGUUGUUGGUGAAGCGGUAAUCAACCAGAAAGUCACGGCUAACUCCGUGCCAGCAGCCGCGGUAAUAC
rnacentral:rRNA from 1 species